CCUAGGGUUCGUUCGAAUUGGGGUCGGGAGGAUUUGGAUUCCGAUUUGGGGAAAGUGGAUUCGAAACCCUAGCAGCACCCCAGUAGAAAAAUAAUAUAAUAAUGAGAGAGAGAGAGAGAGAGAGAGAGAGAGUGAGAGAGAGAGAGAGAUGAUUACUGGAGAAGGGAAGACUGUAACAGGAGCCUCGGGUUACACAGCAUCACGGUUGGUGAAGUUCUUAUUGCAAAAGGGUUAUACUGUCAAAGGCACUGUUCGUGACCCAAGUCAGUAUUUCUUAACUUGCUCAUAUAUGGUGGUUCUUGGAAUCCAAAACUUUUAUGCAAAAAGACAGGACUUGCAGCAGUGCUUUCGUUUGGAUGUCAUGUUUUGUAUGUCAACAAUUUAUAGUUUUCUAAUUACGAUUUCAUUAGAUUCGGACCGUAAAAUAUUAAAUUGGCCGAAUUCAUUUAUAAAGUAAACUCGGGAAUUAGUGUUUGUUGGCCACCUUAUUAGUGGACAUACCAACAGGAUCCUCUUCGGAUUCUUUUGAUGAAGAUCCUAGAGAUUUGUGAAUUAUAUCCGUUCGUUUUACAUUAUGUGGUUAGUUUUUAUCAAGUAUUGUAUAUAUUUAUUUUUAAAUUAAAAAAUUUAAAAUGAUUUAUAACUGCACGAUGUAAGAUGAACGACGAUUCACAAUUCUUCAAGAUCUUUAAAAGAGGAUCCGGACUCAGUGGACAUAUGCAUGCUAAUGCCCUCAUGCUUGUAUUUUCAAACCACAACACAUUUUUAAUGGUGACAAGACAAGCACUAAGGGAGCGUUUGUUGCAUCAGACUAUCUCGGACUGGACUAACUUUAGGGACUAAACUAGAUUGGCUUGGCAUGGACUAAAUAGUAUAAGAAUAAUGAAGCGUUUGAUGUAAUAUAAGACUAAAUCACGGACUAAAUUAUUUUAGAGCUAAAAUACUUUUUUGUCAUUUUCUUAUUCAUUUUAUUAAUAUUUACACACUUUUUUUAUUUGAUUCUCUCUCCUCAUCCCCCUACUUUUCUUCUCUGGUUUGCAUUUUCUUCUUCGCAAGCCCAGAUUUGCUUCCACUAAUAAUCAAACCUAGAAACUUCCUCUUUUUUUAUUUGCUUUCUCUUCAAUUAAAACUCAUAUUUCUCUUCUUUUAAUUUACUUUCUCUUCAUAUCAAAUCCAGAAAAAUCCCAAUUUUUUUUUUUCAAUUUGCAAAGGCUCGGAUCGUCGGAUCUACAAAUCGACGACAAACUUGCAGAUGCAUCCUCCUGGCAGAGCGCUUGGCGGCCUCGAGGAAGAUGCGACGAUCAGUGGCACGAGAUCUGGAGAUGCAGCCUACGGGUAGGGCCUGUGCGAGAGCUGGUGCUACUGAAUCGGUUGAUUGUUGGCCGAGAAAGAGGAAAAGCUUAAUUGCAGCAGUUGGGGAUCUGUGGAAGAUGAAGAGGAAGACGACUGAGGAAGUCGAAGCAUCAGCACGGUGAUGAAGCGAAGCGAUGGUCUUAGCAAUCCCAUCCUUUUUGCCCGGCCUCGCUAAGCCCAGCUAGCGAAAAGUUUAGUCGGAACGAGUCCGAGCUAGUCCCAUUAAACUUAGUCCUAGCUUGCACCAAACAUGGCUUAAUAAUCUUAGCUAAGCUAGUCUAGUACAGUGAGAUCUAAUGAGUGUAAACAAACACGCCCUAAGAUUCUAAGAUUUCGUAUCAAAGACGAGACCAGAAUGCUACAAUUUUAAGUGGCUAGCAAAGCAAAUGCCUCCCCCUCCCAAAUUUAUGGAAUCAACUAUAUUGUCCGUAUUAUGAGUACCGAAAUAGGCAAGCUAACUAUGAUAUGACGCGCAUUUUUGACCCACAGCGAGCAAGCUAAUGGGGAAUCUACAAAAGUUGUUUUCAAAUUGAUUACAUUUGUAUUUGUGAUAUAUGAUAUAAAAAAACCGUAGUUAUUCA